rnacentral:rRNA from 1 species
UACAGAGGGUGCGAGCGUUAAUCGGAAUUACUGGGCGUAAAGCGUGCGCAGGCGGUUUGCUAAGACAGGUGUGAAAUCCCCGGGCUUAACCUGGGAACUGCGCUUGUAACUGGCAAGCUAGAGUGUGGCAGAGGGGGGUGGAAUUCCACGUGUAGCAGUGAAAUGCGUAGAGAUUUGGAGGAACACCAGUGGCGAAGGCGACUUUCUGGUCUGUUACUGACGCUGAGGCGCGAAAGCGUGGGGAGCAAACAGG